rnacentral:rRNA from 1 species
GCUGGCAGCUAGCUUUCUGCAACUUUCAGGUGGUCGCCCACUGAAGAAAGCAGGGCUGCGCCUGGUCAGUACCUGGAUGGGAGACCACAUGGGAAAGUUAGGUUGCUGUAAGGG